rnacentral:rRNA from 1 species
GUAGGGAAUCUUCCACAAUGGGCGCAAGCCUGAUGGAGCAACACCGCGUGAGUGAAGAAGGGUUUCGGCUCGUAAAGCUCUGUUGUUAAAGAAGAACACGUAUGAGAGUAACUGUUCAUACGUUGACGGUAUUUAACCAGAAAGUCACGGCUAACUACGUGCCAGCAGCCGCGGUAAUACGUAGGUGGCAAGCGUUAUCCGGAUUUAUUGGGCGUAAAGAGAGUGCAGGCGGUUUUCUAAGUCUGAUGUGAAAGCCUUCGGCUUAACCGGAGAAGUGCAUCGGAAACUGGAUAACUUGAGUGCAGAAGAGGGUAGUGGAACUCCAUGUGUAGCGGUGGAAUGCGUAGAUAUAUGGAAGAACACCAGUGGCGAAGGCGGCUACCUGGUCUGCAACUGACGCUGAGACUCGAAAGCAUGGGUAGCGA